UUGGAACAACGGUUCCUGUACGAUCACCGAAGUUAAGCAAAGACAAGCCUGGUCAAUACUAAGAUUGGUAACCGCUUCGGAAUACCAGGUGCUGUAAG